AGCGAACGCUGGCGGCAGGCCUAACACAUGCAAGUCGAACGAACCUUUCGGGGUUAGUGGCGGACGGGUGAGUAACACGUGGGAACGUGCCUUUAGGUUCGGAAUAACUCAGGGAAACUUGUGCUAAUACCGAAUGUGCCCUUCGGGGAAAAGAUUUAUCGCCUUUAGAGCGGCCCGCGUCUGAUUAGCUAGUUGGUUGAGGUAAUGGCUCACCAAGGCGACGAUCAGUAGCUGGUCUGAGAGGAUGAUCAGCCACAUUGGGACUGAGACACGGCCCAAACUCCUACGGGAGGCAGCAGUGGGGAAUCUUGCGCAAUGGGCGAAAGCCUGACGCAGCCAUGCCGCGUGAAUGAUGAAGGUCUUAGGAUUGUAAAAUUCUUUCACCGGGGACGAUAAUGACGGUACCCGGAGAAGAAGCCCCGGCUAACUUCGUG
rnacentral:rRNA from 1 species